GUUAGGAUAGUAUUGAAACGGAUAUGGUUCUCUUUUAUUCUGGUCUUUGUCAGAAAAUUAUUCAUGAGAAGUAUAUGGCAAUGUGAAUGAUUGUUUUGAAAAGCGCUCUCUCUUUCGAAAGGUUGGUUUUGUAGAGUUUUUUGUUGGUCCUCUGUUUUGAUUUAGUGGUUCCUACUUUGUCCAUGAAGAGGCUUUGAGGUAUUAUGUGACAAAAAAUAUUUCUGCCUGCUUAAGUGCGGAGCUUCUGGCUGCAUGUUGUGAUACUGUUUUCAAGAAGGAUGGGAGUGAAAAAAAGAGUGUGAAGCCAUGGAAGACACUUUGGACAAGGUAGCCUUCUUGUUUCUCUCCUAUCAAAUUCCAUUUUCGUCAAAUCUAUUGACUUUUAAUGGUAGUUUUAACCUGUGCCUUUAAUUUCGAGAGUUAUUUGCUUAUAUUGUCAAGAAAGAUCUUUUUGCUGCAUUCUGCAGGUAAGCUGUUUUUUUACAUUAUAUGUUUCAACUUUGUCUUGAAUGGGGAUAUAGUUCUCUUUCCCUUCCCAUCUUUUAUUUCCAGCUAUGACGGGAAUGGCAACUUAAGAUGAUAAAAGUACUUGAGUCUUGAUAACCUUCCUUCCUUGUAAUUACUUCAACUAAUGUUGUAUAUUGCCACCACUGUGGUAU
rnacentral:lncRNA from 1 species